rnacentral:rRNA from 1 species
GAUGAACGCUGGCGGCGUGCCUAAUACAUGCAAGUCGAGCGAACAGACGAGGAGCUUGCUCCUCUGACGUUAGCGGCGGACGGGUGAGUAACACGUGGAUACCUACCUAUAAGACUGGGAUAACUUCGGGAAACCGGAGCUAAUACCGGAUAACAUGUUGAACCGCAUGGUUCAACAGUGAAAGACGGUUUUGCUGUCACUUAUAGAUGGAUCCGCGUCGCAUUAGCUAGUUGGUAAGGUAACGGCUUACCAAGGCAACGAUGCGUAGCCGACCUGAGAGGGUGAUCGGCCACACUGGAACUGAGACACGGUCCAGACUCCUACGGGAGGCAGCAGUAGGGAAUCUUCCGCAAUGGGCGAAAGCCUGACGGAGCAACGCCGCGUGAGUGAAGAAGGUCUUCGGAUCGUAAAACUCUGUUAUUAGGGAAGAACAAAUGUGUAAGUAACUAUGCACGUCUUGACGGUACCUAAUCAGAAAGCCACGGCUAACUACGUG